UCUCUGUGAUGAUGAACAAUGAUGACGAGUCCGAUCCAUUCUUAACAAUGUGACGACAAUUCGAGGCAUUUGUCUGAGAGGUUUCCACUCCUUAUAUUUUUAUCUACAUUUUCAAAACCGAUUGAAGUGAUUUUUUAAUUUCAUAUUAUUUAUUUUGUUUUAUCUGUUUGCUUUUUCGAUUUUAUUUUCUUCUGAUUAUUGGCAUGGUGAUGAUGAUCUUUAUUGUCAUCUGAUAAUUCACAUGACGAAAAAACACCUCCUACUCAUUCUGA